rnacentral:rRNA from 1 species
AAACACCUCUAUUUAUAGAGACUUGACGGUACCAGAGGAAUAAGCACCGGCUAACUCCGUGCCAGCAGCCGCGGUAAUACGGAGGGUGCAAGCGUUAUCCGGAUUCACUGGGGUUUAAAGGGUGCGUAGGUGGGCUAUUAAGUCAGUGGUGAAAGCCCCAGGCUCAACUUGGGAACUGCCAUUGAUACUGAUAGUCUUGAAUUUUGGGUAGAGGUAGGCGGAAUGUAACAUGUAGCGGUGAAAUGCUUAGAUAUGUUACAGAACACCGAUUGCGAAGGCAGCUUGCUAUGCCAAUAUUGACACUGAGGCACGAAAGCGUGGGGUAGCGAACAGGAUUAGAUACCCUGGUAGUCCACGCCCUAAACGAUGAUUACUCGACAUUGGCGUAUAUACCGUUCAGUGUCCUAGCGAAAGCGUUAAGUAAUCCACCUGGGGAGUACGUUCGCAAGAAU